AUUGAACGCUGGCGGCAGGCCUAACACAUGCAAGUCGAGCGGAGCGGCGGACGGGUGAGUAAUGCCUAGGAAUCUGCCUGGAAGUGGGGGAUAACGUCCGGUAACGGGCGCUAAUACCGCAUACUACCAGAUGAGCCUAGGUCGGAUUAGCUAGUUGGUGGGGUAAAGGCCUACCAAGGCGACGAUCCGUAACUGGUCUGAGAGGCUGAUCAGUCACACUGGAACUGAGACACGGUCCAGAAUCCUAAGGGAGGCAGCAGUGGGGAAUAUUGGACAAUGGGCGAAAGCCUGAUCCAGCAAUGCCGCGUGUGUGAAGAAGGUCUUCGGAUUGUAAAGCACUUUAAGUUGGGAGGCGUUACCAACAGAAUAAGCACCGGCUAACUACGUGCCAGCAGACGCGGUAAUUA
rnacentral:rRNA from 1 species